rnacentral:lncRNA from 1 species
UGUCAAGGAAAUGAUAGCAAGAUACUGGCCAUAAAUGCAACGCAUUCAGCAAAAUAUUAAUUGAACAGAAAACAAUUAGGCGGUAGCAUGGGUAAGAAAACAAUUAGUCGGUAGCAUGGGUGGAACAUGAACAAUUGAAUUACAAAGAUCACAAGUUUUAGUAGGAAUGCAAAUUAUUAACUGUAUUUGCAGCUUUGAUAACCUAGCUUGAAGCCAAAAAAACUGAAGUAUCUCAGCAGAGAACAAUUCCCAACCAGAAUGCAGAUUAUGGAAUAGAAAUCUAGCAAAAUGGAUGGUACAAAAAGUUGUAGGCGUUGGAACACUAUCCCCUCAUGGUGC